ACAUGGCAGAACUUGCCAGGAGGGUGAGCAGAAGCUCCGCAGAUUUGUUUGUUGGGGCUAAAGUCUUAUUCCAUCCUUCAGAUUUCCCCACAGUGGGAACUCUUCCCUUUCCCUCUCGUUCUUGGAGGCUCUGGAGGGUGAGCCUUCUUAUUAGCAAAGACACGGUGCCUGUUAUUUAUUUUUUUUCCAAGCUGCAGCUUAGGGUUUCAAACCUAAAGCCAAUUUGGGAAUACCAGGGCUCUAUACAAAAGGAUUUCUACAUGUUACUGAGUAUUCACCCGUGUUAAGUGGAGCCCUUCUGAAAUGCAGACGUGGCCUUGCACCUUUGCACAUAAAAUAGAGCAGAUCCUGCCAGACUAAGGAACAAUUUCUCUUAAACCGGAGGAGUGGUGUUCUUCAUGUCUCACAUUCAGAAUGACGCAGACGAGAUAUCUUUAAAGUAGGUUCUAUGACGAUCUCGUCUGUGGUCUUUGGCGAGGGCUCUCGCGACUUAGUGGGUUUUAAACUUGAUUCCCUCUAGGACACAAAGCCCGUGGGUUCCAAGGCCGGGGCAGAAAAUGCAGAAAGGCAGCACAUCUGAGGACAUUUGCAACCACAGCGUUGGAUCAGGGUUACAUGAAAGUUCCCUUCUGUGGCGUCCAAUUUCAGGUGCCUUUUCACCAGGGUACAUCUUUUUUUUUUUUUUUUUCCCUCCCCGGAGAAAAUUAUUUCUCAGAGUGCUUGUAAGAUUCUCCUGCUUUUCCAGAUAGAGUCCUUCACCUGGCUUUGGUUAAAACUUAUUAAAUUUGACCAAAUUGGCUUGUGUUUCCCUGACGGGAACGUUUCACCAGAGCCAAGAUGGGCUUUAGCUUUUUUGACAGCUGAUGGGUUAUUUCUCAAGGCAAGGGAGAGCUUAUAAGCACUUUCUGAAUAUGAUACAGCACAUGCCAGUUAGAGGAGCACGGACAGGCCAGGUGUUUGGGGAACAGUUUGUUAAAGCCAGUGAAUUUCGCAAAUGGGCGAGAUGAUGAAAAGUUCUCAGCUUCCCCCGCCGCGGUGGUGGGUGUCCGGUAACCGGAGGAGGCAGGCAGGGGAUGUUAUUUGCAGCCAUAGCAGCUCUGUAGGACUCCAGGUAACUGGGUGGCCAGCUAAAAAUGCUGGUAAAGUUGGUCAGUUUGGGGUGGGACGUCGUACUGACCCAGCGGAACCAGCUCGGGACUGGGUUUCUUGAACCAGUGACGGGUGACCUGUGUGUUCUGGUGAAUCCGUUGUGCCUGUCUGAUGGGCAACUCGAGCCCUCUGCGCUCCUUCUCUUGGCCUGCUCUCACCUCUACACCCCUGUGGAUCACGGCUCCUGCUAAGUGAUAAAUGAGACAGAUAAAUGACUAUCUGUCUCGUCUCCCUUGCUCUUGGAGCCUUUGAUCUCUUAUCUCUUGGUUCUUGGUCCUGCUUUGGCCCAAAGAGCACGUGAAAAAUACCUGGGCUUGCCUCUUCCCUAGAAAGCACCAAACAAGGGAGAACACCCAGGGAGGAGGGAGCGAGAAUGCUGGGCUCUCUGGGCAUCCGGGCAGCCUCUGUGGGAGGGAGACACGGACCAGGUGGGAUAAAGAGCUGGAAGGGGCUCUGAAGCAGUAGGACAGGUGAGGGGGCUCGCGGCAGUGAGGGGGGGAUGCCAGCAGCGUUUGGGUGCAUCUGGGCUCCCCGGGGUCUUCCCUCCGGUGGAUCCAGGGCCGUCACGUGGGCAGGGGUACGCGCUUGUUUUUUACAGACCCGUGUGUCAGUCACUCACAAGUGUCCCUGGCGUGUUUGACGUCUCAGUGCUGUCGGCCGGGUUGGACCCUCUUCCUGGUGUCCGUGGCCUCACCCACGCCUCCUGGUCCCCCGCCUCGCUGGCUGUUUCUUCCUGGUCUCCGGCAUGGCCUCCUUUCCUGUAUCCACCACUCCUCUCUGCUCCCUGCGUCCCACGCUCUGUGCUCUGUCUCCUACAUCGGGGGGUCACAGCCCCGGGCUGCCGUGGGCUUUGGGAGUCAGUGGAGGUCCAUCUGAAUGGCAUGUUGCACCUCCUUUCCCUCUAAAAUUAGCUCCUUUUCCAGUGUUGGCUACCUCAGCAGAUGGCAGCGUGAUCACUGUGUUGCCCCCCCGGGGAUCCGCAAGUCUCCUGCACCUGCGCAUUGUGGACGGGCUACCCAAGCCGCUCACUGCCCUCCCUGCGUGCGCCGUGAACUAGGCAUUCAUGGAAGGCUUGCUGGGAGAGGCCCAAGAUUCUUCUCCUGGUCAGUGUCCUGGAGCAUCAGAAGUAUCAGUGUUCCCCAAGGUCCCGUUGUGAAAAAUCUCAAGUUUACAGAAACGUUGGAAGAAGAGUCCGGUGAACGUGUGUUUUCCUUUGCGCUGUUAACACUCUGCCACGUUCCUGUUCUGUCUCCGGUUUGCUGAGCCGUUUGGUCGUAACGUACAGAGAUCAUGACGCCCACCCCGGAAGACUUAAACACACACCCACCGAGAAUAUAAAUGUUCUCCUAGACACACAACGUGUUAGCAUGCUUCAGAAAUCAGACAUGUAUGUGAGCUGUGUUCAGAUUUCUCUAAUCGUCCCCAUAUGGCUUUCAUGGCUGUUAAAAAAUUAAAAAAAAAAACCCCAGGGUCCAGUCAGAGUUCACACGUUACAUUCGGUUGCUAUGUCUCUCCCGUGUCUUAAUCCAGAACAGUCCCUGCACGUUUCAUUUAUUGUCUAUUUUCCAUUCAACUCUUUGGAGGAGCCCAGGCAGGUUGCUCCCAGGCUGCGCCCCACGUUGGGCGUUUCUGGCUCCUCCCGACUAGAUCCAGGUGAGACCAGCUUGGCAUGAGUACGAAAACGUGGCGGCACGUGAGGGGCUCGUGCUGGAGGCUUGGCUGAUUGCACCAAGGAUCGUCGAUGGAUGAUAUUUAUAAUCUGUAUACUGGGCGUUGAAAAUGGUGAUUUUUAAAUUCCAUUUAAACUCAUGGAUUCUUGGUGUUUUUCUCGGUUUUGUUCGGUGUGUUGUAGCCCUCGGCGUCGUGCUCACAUGGUUCAAGCUCUGCCCACUGGCAGACAACCGCUCUGAAGCCCUUUCCGUGUGUCCCCGCCAGUCUCCCGGCACCUCCCUGCUUUCGGGCUGACCUUUGACCUGAACUUGGAAUCAGUCAUUUCUUCGAGAAAUCCCGGCCUCUUUCGGGGGAGCUCCUAUUUAUCGAUCAGGAUUUGGGCGCUGGGUGUCGUGCGUCGAGGCCCCUCCGGUGAACGCGGCUAAGACAUUCGUGUAGAGAUGCUUCCAGGGACAGCAGUCCCUCCGGUUCAAAUCCAACACCCCAGGAUUCAUCUGUCCUGCCCUCCAUUCUGUACUUAUAUUCCUCUUUAUACUCUGACUCCCAGCAGUUUCCACGUAUGUACGCAUUUCUCCUACAAGACACAGACCACGGGUCAUAAUUUGAAGCUGAUGCCCUCACUCCCUCCGGAGACGGCCUUCCGGGCGGGCGCACAGAAUAUCAGAUUCAAGGAUUCAAAGUUACUGCUAUUAUUUGUUGCACAGAAUAUCGGAUUCAAAGUUACUCACAUUAUUUGUUUUCUCUCUGAAGUCACCCUAUGAAUUUGAUAUGCGGUUAUGUUCAUUUUUUUCUCUUCGUAUUCAAUCGAGGGUUCGUUUCCAUUAGUUUGUUUCAUUUUCUGGAUACGUACACUGUUAACCUAACUCAAAAGUCAAAACUGUAUUGAGAGGUGUAUUUCCCUUCAUUGUCCUCCAUCCACUCCUGCUCUGCUUUAGCUCUGGUUGACCCUCCCUGUGUGUCUUUCCUUCUCUUCCCUCUCCCACGACAAGAAGCAAAUGCAUACCUGUUUUUAUUUUCUGUCUUUCUUACACUGCAGAUAGCGCAGCGCCCACUCCCGUGGUGCCCACUCCCGUGGCGCCCACUCCCGUGGCGCAUACUCUCCGCGGACCUUGCCUUUCAUUUUUGUGCAGCUGUUUCCUCCCCGGGACAGCACGGCCGCGGGGUCCUCCAGCGCGUGCGUGUGCGCUGAGCUUUCUUCGGAGCGUGUGGCCACGAGCACCGCACUCCCGGGACAGUGCUGCGGAGCACGGCCUGUGGGUGUGCGGUUCACACUCGUGUGGGCGUCUCUUCACGGUGGAACCCCAGAGAGCGCUUUACGUGUGAGGAGGACUUCCAUGGCUCUUCAUCUCGGUUUCUCCGUCUGCUCUGCCUCAGAAGCGUGUCUGGCUCAUAUCACUUCUCACUCGGAUUACAACCAUCACCUCCUAAAACUGGCCACCGUUCCCUACACAGCCCCCAGGAAAGGUCAUCUCGUCACCUGCACUGGACGGGUUCUCGUGUCCUGAAGGCCACCUAACCUGGCGUGAGUCCAGCCCCAGCUCUCCCCGUUGCCCCGUCCUCCCCGUCCACCUGACUCUCUCCUAUGCGGUGCUCAGAGCUCAGUCUACACAUCCCUGGCUCGGGGAGGCCUUCCCAGACACCCUCUGCGCCUCUGUGCCCGGACCGUCAGGAGCUGGUUUUGCCGCGUCCCGCACGCACCACCUUAUUCCAUCACUGGACCACGGCCUACGUGAAGGCAGAGGGGCCUGCCUCCCUUCGGGGUCCCCAUGGCCUGACAAGCGCCUGACUCACACAUAGUAGGUGCUCCGUGAGUGUUUUGAAUGCAUGCUAGCGCGAUAGGCUGCUCAGCGCGAGGUCAGGGCAGGAGGAACGGGCCGAAUGACGCGGGUGUUCAGGGCCCCACGGUCCGGCCCAAGUUUCUGAAGGCCAAGUGCUUACUUUCAGAACGAAUCAGGCACCAUUGCCUUUCUUUGUAGAGGACAUUCUCAUUCAAGAUUGCUUCAGCUCCAGCCUCCAGAGACUCCCAACACCAGGGGGAGGCGGCUCCGGGGUCAAGGUUAUGCUCCAGUCAGUGUUUGUUUAUUCAGCAGGUGCUAAUAAAUGAAGCCGAAGUAACAAGCUGUAACUCAGCUUCUCCAGGCUUGAGUGCAGCCUCCGUUGGGGGAAAGGGUCAGAUUUCAGCCCCUAGGGCGCCAGUCACCACCUUGGAAGAAGGAUAGUUCUUAGCCUCACGGGGAGACCACCAUGUCCUUCCCUUCAGUCAUUAUCCUGAGACUGGGAAAAAAUAAAACGGAACUGGUUAGAGCAGAGAAGUGCUGGAAACCCAGCCAGAGACCCCACAGCCGGCGAGCGGACAGCAGGCCGGGGCCGCUCCACCUGCCCCGGCACCCACAGAAUGGUCAACAGAGGAAGUGCCGCCCCGUGGGGUACAUAGGACCCCCCGGAGCACGCUGCUGUGUCGGGUGUCCCCUGUGAGCAACCCUGGGCCGAGAGCAGGUGCACGGCGGUCCCUUGACUGGGUCUGCUCCCCUGUGGACGCUGCUCCACAUCAUGGCCACCGCUGCGUGGCCUGUUGGUAAAUUCGGGGACACCAUUCGCCAGGCCACGUUACCACGUUAAUAAAGGCUUUGACGUAACCAGA